rnacentral:rRNA from 1 species
GACGAACGCUGGCGGCGUGCUUAACACAUGCAAGUCGAACGGAAAGGCCCUGCUUUUGUGGGGUGCUCGAGUGGCGAACGGGUGAGUAACACGUGUGUAACCUGCCCUUGACUUUGGGAUAACUUCAGGAAACUGGGGCUAAUACCGGAUAGGAGCUCUUGCUGCAUGGUGGGGGUUGGAAAGUUUCGGCGGUUGGGGAUGGACUCGCGGCUUAUCAGCUUGUUGGUGGGGUAGUGGCUUACCAAGGCUUUGACGGGUAGCCGGCCUGAGAGGGUGACCGGCCACAUUGGGACUGAGAUACGGCCCAGACUCCUACGGGAGGCAGCAGUGGGGAAUAUUGCACAAUGGGCGGAAGCCUGAUGCAGCAACGCCGCGUGCGGGAUGACGGCCUUCGGGUUGUAAACCGCUUUCGCCGGUGACGAAGCGUGAGUGACGGUAAUGGGUAAAGAAGCACCGGCUAACUACGUG